rnacentral:rRNA from 1 species
CCUACGGGAGGCAGCAGUGAGGAAUAUUGGUCAAUGGGCGCAAGCCUGAACCAGCGACGCCGCGUGGGGGAUGAAGGGGCUUUGCCUCGUAAACCUCUGUCGGAUGGGACGAAAGGUGGCUUUGAGCCACUGGGACGGUACCAUCAAAGGAAGGAUCGGCUAACUACGUGCCAGCAGCCGCGGUAAUACGUAGGAUCCGAGCGUUGUCCGGAGUUACUGGGUGUAAAGGGUGCGUAGGCUGUUCUGUGCGUCAGAGGUGAAAUCCACGGGCUUAACUCGUGAGGUGCCUUUGAUACGGCAGGGCUUGAGUACGAGAGAGGUGCGUGGAAUUCCUGGUGUAGCAGUGAAAUGCGUAGAUAUCAGGAGGAACACCGGUGGCGAAGGCGGCGCACUGGCUCGUAACUGACGCUGAGGCACGAAAGCGUGGGGAUCAAACAGGAUUAGAUACCCUGGUAGUCCACGCCUUAAACGAUGCAUGCUUGGUGUUGGUCUCGCAAGAGAUCAGUGCCGUAGUUAACAUGAUAAGCAUGCCACCUGGGGAGUACGAUCGCAAGGUUGAAACUCAAAGGAAUUGACGG